rnacentral:rRNA from 1 species
UGCAAGUCGAACGAACUUAACCAUUAGUUUACUAUUGGAGCGGUUAGUGGCGGACUGGUGAGUAACACGUAAGCAACCUGCCUAUCAGAGGGGAACAACAGUUAGAAAUGACUGCUAAUACCGCAUAUGCCUUAGAAUCACAUGGUUCAAAAGGGAAAGGAGCAAUCCGCUGAUAGAUGGGCUUGCGUCUGAUUAGCUAGUUGGUGGGGUAACGGCCUACCAAGGCGACGAUCAGUAGCCGAACUGAGAGGUUGAACGGCCACAUUGGGACUGAGAUACGGCCCAGACUCCUACGGGAGGCAGCAGUCGGGAAUAUUGCGCAAUGGAGGAAACUCUGACGCAGUGACGCCGCGUGCAGGAAGAAGGUUUUCGGAUUGUAAACUGCUUUAGACAGGGAAGAACAAAGACAGUACCUGUAGAAUAAGCUCCGGCUAACUACGUGCCAGCAGCCGCGGUAAUACGUAGGGAGCGAGCGUUAUCCGGAUUUAUUGGGUGUAAAGGGUGCGUAGACGGGAAGUCAAGUUAGUUGUGAAAUCCCUCGGCUUAACUGAGGAACUGCAACUAAAACUGAUUUUCUUGAGUACUGGAGAGGAAAGUGGAAUUCCUAGUGUAGCGGUGAAAUGCGUAGAUAUUAGGAGGAACACCGGUGGCGAAGGCGACUUUCUGGACAGAAACUGACGUUGAGGCACGAAAGUGUGGGGAGCAAACAGGAUUAGAUACCCUGGUAGUCCACACCGUAAACGAUGGAUACUAGGUGUAGGGGAUAUUAAAAUUCUCUGUGCCGCCGCUAACGCAAUAAGUAUCCCACCUGGGGAGUACGG